CUACGGGUCGCAGCAGUGGGGAAUCUUAGACAAUGGGCGCAAGCCUGAUCUAGCCAUGCCGCGUGAGUGACGAAGGCCUUAGGGUCGUAAAGCUCUUUCGCUGGGGAAGAUAAUGACGGUACCCAGUAAAGAAACCCCGGCUAACUCCGUGCCAGCAGCCGCGGUAAUACGGAGGGGGUUAGCGUUGUUCGGAAUUACUGGGCGGAAAGCGCGCGUAGGCGGAUCAGAAAGUUGGGGGUGAAAUCCCGGGGCUCAACCCCGGAACUGCCUUCAAAACUCCUGGUCUUGAGUUCGAGAGAGGUGAGUGGAAUUCCGAGUGUAGAGGUGAGAUUCGUAGAUAUUCGGAGGAACACCAGUGGCGAAGGCGGCUCACUGGCUCGAUACUGACGCUGAGGUGCGAAAGCGUGGGGAGCAAACAGGAUUAGAUACCCCCGUAGUC
rnacentral:rRNA from 1 species